GUAAAUUAGAGACAAAUAUAGAUUUCUAUUUCCCUAGUUUGAAAAAAUAAUUACAUGAUUGAAUUCAAGGAAGAAGAGAAUUGAACUCAUACAUGAAUAAUCUUAUCAAAAGAUAUCCAAGAGAGAUCUGAUGUAGAGAUAAAGGGAUUCAACCCAUAAACCUCACCAAGACAGAACCUAAAAAAAUUGUCUCCCCUAAAAAUGUUCAUCAUAUUCUAUUUAUACUACCACGGCUAACUUAAAUUAAGAAAGGACAAAUGCCUCUUAAUUACAUGUACGUUAUACUAUGAUCAAAAGAACCUAAAAUAUAAUGUUUUAUCUUCUCUUGUAUUGGUUCUUUGGCUUUCAUACUCUCUUUAAACACUCUAGGCUGUUUAUGUCAAGUUGAAAUCUUUUAAUGCAAUAAGUACUUGCUGAUAUUGCAUCAUUUAGUGGGGAUGCGGGGUACUUUCCUAGUUCCAUAAGGAUUAAGCUUUCUAUUGAUGUAAUAAGUAUCCUAUUUAAAGGGAGAUUUGAGGAAUAAGACGUACUAAUAGUUUCAGUCAAAAGCAAGAGGUUAGAGUUCUCUUUCCAUUGAACUUUAAGGUUUCAACCUCCCUUUAACAAGCUGAAGUUAUGUACCAAAUAGGUCGAUCUAGGAAUUCGAGCAAAGGCAAGUGAAAUUCAAAGUCAAUUGAUUCAAGUUUUUCUGAUUAUCGUCUUGUGACUUGAUCCUUCUCUAAAGAUCCUAAUAACCCUCGGCUCGGGUGUAGCAAAUUCAAGUACAAAGAAGAAGGAAAUAAACAAACAACAACAACAACAAACCCAGUGUAUUCCCACAAAGUGGGGUCUAGGGAGGGUAAAAUUUACGCAGUCCAUACCGCUACCUCCAAAGACAAAGAAAAGGAAAUAAUGAAGAAAAAUAAUGCAACUUACAGUCAACAUGAUAAGUCUGCAAGAAAGAAACAAAAACAACAAAAUAGUGCAAUAAUUGAAGCACAGUAAAUAACAGAUUAUGAUAGAUAUCACAAGCAUGGAAUACAAUACUACGACUAGUACAAUAACAAACACCAACAAGCCUAAACCUUUGAAAAGAAGAACAACACUCCUACCCGAUAACCUUUUUCCCUAAUAUGUGCCCUCCAUACCCUCCAAUCUAUGAUCAUGUCCUCAAUAAUUUGAAGUUGUGGCAUGUCCUAUCUAAUAACCUCUCCCCAAUACUUCCUCGGCCUACCUGUACCUCUCCUCAUACCAACUAUAUCUAACCUCUCGCACCUCCUUUCUAGGCUUCUGCAUCUUUCUUCUUCAUAUGUCCAAAUCAUCUCAACCUCUCUUCUCUGUCUUGUCCACUGUGGAGACGAUUCCAACUUUAUCUCGAAUAUUCUCAUUCAUAAUCUUGUUGCACUUAUUUUGCCCACAUAUCCACCUUAACAUCCUUAUCUCCGUAACAUGCAUCUUCUGAGCAUGAAAUUUGACUAGCCAGCACUCCAUUCCAUACAAACGACAUUGGUCUAAGUACCACUUUGUAGAACUUACCAUUAAGUUUCGGUGGUAUAUUAGGCAAUCCUCAACUUCAUCGAUGCUCGUAUAAAGAUGUGUGACAUCAUUAUUAAUGUCCCCACUUCCCUGUCCUUACUUCCCCGGAUUAUAGACGUAAGAUACUUGUCGCUGUCUCUCUUAGGGAAAUCUGUGUGUCAAGCCUCACUCUCAUGUUGGCCUCAUGCAACCCCUCACUGAAUUUGCACGCUCCAAAUACUCUGUUUUGAUCCUGCUUGAAUUGAACCCUUUUAACUUUCAGAGUUUUGUUUCCGCACCUCCAACCUGGCAUUAACUUUGCUAUGCAUCUCAUCAGUAUUGUAUCAUCCGUAAAUAACAUACACGAAGGCAUGUCAUCUUGAAUGUAUUGCGUCAAUUCAUCCAUUAACGAGGCUAGGAGGAACAAGCUUAAAGUUGACCCCUGGUGCAACCCCAUUUCCACUGAGAAGUGCUCCGAGUCUCCUCUUACCGUUAUCAAAGGCACACUUAAAGCGUGCUUAAUCCCUAAAGUGAGGCUCAAAACGUGUUGAGUGCUUCGUAUCACUUUAUGUGCGCUUCAGUGUCGUCAUCAAGUUUUUAAGGUAUACUUUUCCUUUCCAGUGAGUAUCUUCUUCUGAAGUAGCGACACUAAACAAUUGAUAUUUCACUUUAUCGUAAUUGUUUUUCAAUUUCUUUGUUUAUAUAUUUUUCACUCAUGCUUGUUAUUAUUAGUCUUGAACUAUACGUAGAUAUUUGUACUUUUUCUCCCUUUACACCUUUUUUCAUUGAAGCCCACACUUUUAUUUGCGCUUUGCGUUUUCAGUCCCACUAUUGGGAAGUGCUUCGAAUCUCCACCUACCAUUCUAACCCACAUCUUAGCUCCAUCAUAUAUGUCCUUUAUCGCCCUAUUGUAGGCCACCGGUACACCUGAGUACUUCUCUUAGAACUUUAUCACAGACCUUUUCAAGAUUAAUGAACAACAUAUGCACACUCUUCUUUCUUUCCCAGUAUUUCUCCAUCAGUCUCACAAGAUGGAUAGCUUCCGUAAUAGAAUGCCUGACAUGAAUCUAAAUUGAUUCUCAAAAAUGGACACACCCGUCCUCACCCUUAAUAGCACUACUCUCUCCCAAACUUUCAUAGUGCAACUUAAUAACUUAAUACUCUUGUAAUUGUUACAAUUUUGAAUAUCACCCUUGUUCUUGUACUACGGUACCAUUGUGCUCCACCUCCAAUCUUCAGCCAUCUUAGCCGUCUUAAAGAUCACGUUGAACAAACGAGUCAACCAUUCCAUACCUGCCUUGUCCUUGCUCUUCCAAAACUCCACCGGAAUUUCAUCAGGCCCGAUCGCUCUUCUCCUGCUCAUUUUACUAACAACGUGAGUCACCUCUACAACCUUAAUGCGCCUACAAUAUCCAAAAUCCCGAUGUAUCUCAUAGUGCUCAAAAUCAUCGCACAAUGAUUGCCUUCCUUCUUUCAAUAGUUUGUGGAAGUAGGCUUUCCAUCUUUGCUUAAAGAGUGUCUUUCCGCCAAUACCUUGCCAUCUUCAUCCUUAAUGCCCUUCACUUGAUCCAGGUCUCUGUCCUUCUUCACCCUCGUCUUCUCGAGCAUGUAUAACUUCUUAUCUCUGUCUGUUUCCCUUAGUUUAGUUUAGUAUACAAUCGUUUAAAGGUUGUUGUCUUUGCUGCUGUAACCGCUUAACUUAGCCGUCGUUUUCGUUGCCUUAUAAAUUUUCUUAUUCAUCUGCCUCUUCUUUUCCUCGUCCCUGGAUUCCACCCACUUUGCUUAAGCAACCUUCUUAGCUUCCAUUUUGUUUUGAACCUCUCUAUUCCACCACCAAUCCCCUCCCCUUCCACCAACAUUGCACCUCGACACCCUAGGACCUCUCUAGUUGUUUCCCUAAUGCAACUAGCUGUCUUUCCCCACAUGCUAUCCGCAACCCCCAUACUCCAAGCCCCCAUCGCCACCAACUUCUCCCCUAAUACUCGGGAAAGAGUAGGUGUCAAGCUACCCCAUUUAUGUGCUACCCACUUGGUCAAAAAGUUAAAAAAGGAAUCUGUGGACCCGUUUGGCUAUAGAUAUCACAAGUAGUUUUUGGGAAAAUUUGUUUGUCCUUAGAAUUUGUCAAUUUUUGGCUAAAGAAUAAAAUCCCAAAAACUAGGAAAAAGUGAUUUUUUGACCAAAAUCCAGUUUAGGGGUUCUUUAAAGAUUUAUUACUUAGUCCAUCCACUAAUUAUUACGCCAACUAUAAUUGGGAACAAGUGAAAUUGAACAAACUGUUUUCUUGUUGAUGGCUCUUUCUGGUGUCUUUGUUUAUGCUUAAAAAGAAUUCACUAUGGUAGUGUAGAGCUACUGAUGCUUGUUCCUUUUUGGUUGGUUGGUGAAUGAGGUAAUUGUGUUAUUAACAGUUUUUAUUAAAAUGUCGUGUUAUGAUUUUUGGAUAAUGUAUUAUCUAGUUCAUUAUAAAAUGAUAAUUUUGUGUCAAACUUAUGGGCAUUUUAAAUAAUUUUUAGCACUUAUGGGUAUAAAUCAUACAUAUUUCAUGUUGUUUUUUUUUUUAAAAAAGAAUUUAAAUAUGUUUCACAAAAACUAUGGCCAAACACAUGUUCUAACUUCAUCUGAAACUGAUUUGUCAAAAAUAUUUGGGAAUCUAUGGCCAAAUGCUAGCUAUUUGUUGUCCAUAUGAAUUGAAUAGAAGAGGAGGGAAAGGGACUGCCAUAAAGUUUGCACAACUGGUAGGAAAAAUUAGUGAAAGAUCACUUGAGAAAUGUAGGUGACUAAAUGGAAAGGUUUUUUUGGGGUGCGGUUGGAGUUGGGUGGGGUGGGGGUGAUUGGAUUAAAUUUCUGGAAAUGAGAAACCAAACCCAAUAUCAGUUGUUGAGCAUAUAUCCAAAACCUUGUAGUUGGUCAAUCCCAAAAGUUGGUUUUGCGUUUGUUCAAAAGGUUUUUGAAACCAAUCACCAUGUUAGGGUAUAAACAAAGGUAAGUUGUUUGAUAAUAUGAAAGAUUUAACAUUUGAAAAUCCACAGAAAAGACAUGGAACUCAUCCAUUACCCUCAGAACUGUCGAAUCUUAACUUUUGCAUAAGUAGGUUAUGAAAAAUGGCAUGAAGAAUUACUUGGGAGGUAAGUUAAAGGGAAAUAAAAAGAUCUGUAAAAGAGGUCUUGAUCCUGAUGUUUUCUGUUUCUUUUUUUUUUUUUUUGAGCAUAAUUUUCGUUCCAACUUGAAUAAUUAAAGUAUGAGCUUCCUGAGUAGGAACACUUAACCAUUUUGUUUUUUUUAUUCUAAAUAUCUUGUAUGUGGCAGUAUCCUUUUUGUCCCUUCUGUUUAGUAAAACUCUUUAAUCCAACAUAAAAGAUUGUGUAUUUUCAUGCAUGUAUGCCAUCUAUUUCCUUGUCCUCGUCUUGAAAGUUUGGUUUAAGAGUAUUUCCACUUUAGGAUCCAAAAGUCUUCUUUUUUCUCCGUAAUGGGCAAGGUGGUUCUUCAUAAUCUACUCUCCAGCUGUGUUCUAAUUGUCUUUCCACUCUUCUAAUCAGUCUUGAGAUUAACACAUCUACUAGUUGCCAAAAAAUUUGAAUGUUUGCUUGAGCAAUGAAGAUGACAUUAUGUAGUUUCUUUCUCUCAGUAUUUGUUCCCACUUUCACAGGAUGGAGAAAACCUCAGUUGAUACUUUUGGACCACGGUUUAUACAAAGAACUUGAUUACCACACCAGAAUAAACUAUGCUGCACUAUGGAAGGCUUUGGUAUAUUCUGAUGCAAACGGGAUAAAGGAUAAGUGUG